GGGAUUGUGGCUCAGUGGUAGAGUGCUCACCUAGCAUGUGGGAGGCACUGGGUUCAAUUCUCAGCACCA
rnacentral:tRNA from 1 species